CAUAUCAAUAAGCGGAGGAAAAGAAACUAACAAGGAUUCCCCUAGUAACGGCGAGUGAAGCGGGAAGAGCUCAAAUUUAAAAUCUGGCUUGCUUGCAAGUCCGAGUUGUAGUCUGAAGAAACGUUUUCCAUGAAAGCUGAGGCACAAGUCCUUUGGAACAGGGCAUCAUAGAGGGUGAGAAUCCCGUCCAUGGUCUCAUGCAUUUCAUUUUGUGAUACGUUUUCUAAGAGUCAGGUUGUUUGGGAAUGCAGCCUAAAAUGGGUGGUAAAUUUCAUCUAAAGCUAAAUAUUGGCGAGAGACCGAUAGCGAACAAGUACCGUGAGGGAAAGAUGAAAAGAACUUUGAAAAGAGAGUUAAAAAGUACGUGAAAUUGUUGAAAGGGAACCGUUUGAAGCCAGUCUUGCUUACUUGUGAUCAAUCUUARCUUCGGYUUGGAUGCACUCUCGAGUUAUGCAGGUCAACGUCAGUUUGAGAGGUGGGAAAAAAGUUUGAGGAAUGUGGCCUUCGGGUGUUAUAGCCUCUUACUAAAUACCAUCUCCUGGACUGAGGCUCGCAGYAAAAAUGUGGGUUGGUUUGCUCCUGAGGUGAAUCAUURUUAAGACAGCUUGCUGACUUAGUUUUGUGGAUCUUCACGGUAGACCAGCU
rnacentral:rRNA from 1 species